rnacentral:rRNA from 1 species
CCUGGUGGUUAUUGCGAAGAUUCCCUACCCGAUACCAUUCCGAACUCGGAAGUAAAAGUCUUCAGCGCCGAUGGUACUUCGUCUUAAGGCGUGGGAGAGUAGGUCGCCGCCAGGU